GGUCGUGCGGCGCAGGGCGAUCGCGAUUCUGGCCAUGGGCUUGAUGCUCCUUCAAGAAAAGUCAUAACAAGGUAGCCGUAGGGAUAGCCCGGGGAAACCCGGAUUAAUACCGCGUACGCCCUUCGGGGGAAAGCAGGGGAUCUUCGGACCUUGCGCUAUCAGAUGAGCCUAAGCCGGAUUAACUGGUUGGUGGGGUAAAGGCCCACCAAGGCGACGAUCCGUAGCUGGUCUGAGAGGAUGAUCAACCACAUCGGGACUGAGACACGGCCCGAACUCCUACGGGAGGCAGCAGUGGGGAAUAUUGGACAAUGGGGGCAACCCUGAUCCAUCCAUGCCUCGUGUGUGAAGAAGGCUUUCGGGUUGUAAAGCACUUUCUUUGAGGAGGAAGGCCUUAAGGUUAAUACCCUUGAGGAUUGACGUUACUCACACAAGAAACACCGGCUAACUCCGUGCCAGCCGCCGCGGUAAUACGGAGGGUGCAAGCGUUAAUCGGAAUUACUGGGCGUAAAGCGCGCGUACGUGGUUUGAUAAACGAGAUGUAAAAGCCCCGGGCUUAACCUGGGAACGAAAUUUCUAACUGACUGGCUAGAUUGAGGUAGAGGGAUGUGUAAUUACUUGUGUGCGCGUAGGUGGUUUGAUAAGCGAGAUGUGAAAGCCCCCGGGCUUAACCUGGGAACGGCAUUUCGAACUGUCAGGCUAGAGUGUGGUAGAGGGGUGUGGAAUUUCCUGUGUAGCGGUGAAAUGCGUAGAUAUAGGAAGGAACACCAGUGGCGAAGGCGGCACCCUGGACCAACACUGACACUGAGGUGCGAAAGCGUGGGGAGCAAACAGGAUUAGAUACCCUGGUAGUCCACGCCGUAAACGAUGUCAACUAGCCGUUGGGACUCUUGAAGUCUUAGUGGCGCAGCUAACGCACUAAGUUGACCGCCUGGGGAGUACGGCCGCAAGGUUAAAACUCAAAUGAAUUGACGGGGGCCCGCACAAGCGGUGGAGCAUGUGGUUUAAUUCGACGCAACGCGAAGAACCUUACCUGGCCUUGACAUGCUGAGAACUUUCCAGAGAUGGAUUGGUGCCUUCGGGAACUCAGACACAGGUGCUGCAUGGCCGUCGUCAGCUCGUGUCGUGAGAUGUUGGGUUAAGUCCCGUAACGAGCGCAACCCCUAUCCCUAGUUGCUAGCAGUUUGGCUGAGAACUCUAGGGAGACUGCCGGUGACAAACCGGAGGAAGGUGGGGAUGACGUCAGGUCAUCAUGGCCCUUACGGCCAGGGCUACACACGUGCUACAAUGGCGCGCACAGAGGGCUGCAAACCCGCGAGGGGGAGCCAAUCUCACAAAACGCGUCGUAGUCCGGAUCGCAGUCUGCAACUCGACUUCGUGAAGUCGGAAUCGCUAGUAAUCGUGAAUCAGAAUGUCACGGUGAAUAC
rnacentral:rRNA from 1 species